rnacentral:rRNA from 1 species
CAGGUCAGCAUACUGCCGUGAAUACGUUCCCGGGCCUUGUACACACCGCCCGUCACACCAUGAGAGUUGGGGAUACCCGAAGCCUGUGAGCUAACUAUUUAUAGGAGCAGCAGUCGAAGGUAGAAUCAAUGAUUGGGGUGAAGUCGUAACAAGGUAGC